AUUGAACGCUGGCGGCAUGCUUUACACAUGCAAGUCGAGCGGCAGCGCGGGGGCAACCCUGGCGGCGAGCGGCGAACGGGUGAGUAAUGCAUCGGAACGUGUCCCGUAGUGGGGGGAUAACCCGCCGAAAGGCGGGCUAAUACCGCAUAUGCUCUACGGAGGAAAGCGGGGGACCGCAAGGCCUCGCGCUAUGGGAGCGGCCGAUGUCCGAUUAGCUAGUUGGCGGGGUAAAGGCCCACCAAGGCGACGAUCGGUAGCUGGUCCGAGAGGAUGAUCCGCCACACUGGGACUGAGACACGGCCCAGACUCCUACGGGAGGCAGCAGUGGGGAAUUUUGGACAAUGGGCGCAAGCCUGAUCCAGCCAUGCCGCGUGAGUGAAGAAGGCCUGGUUGUAAGACGUCUUCGGUGGGGUAAGGAAAGUACGCAUGGGUAAUACCGUAGUGUGGAGUGACGGUACCGGAACGUAAGAAGAC
rnacentral:rRNA from 1 species